GAUGAACGCUGGCGGCGUGCCUAAUACAUGCAAGUCGAGCGAACAGACGAGGAUCUUGCUCCUCUGACGUUAGCGGCGGACGGGUGAGUAACACGUGGAUAACCUACCUAUAGGACUGGGAUAACUUCGGGAAACCGGAUCUAAUACCGGAUAAUAUAUUGAACCGCAUGGUUCAUUAGUGAAAGACGGUUUUGCUGUCACUUAUAGAUGGUUCCUCGCCGCAUUAGCUAGUUGGUAAGGUAACGGCUUACCAAGGCAACGAUGCGUAGCCGACCUGAGAGGGUGAUCAGCCACACUGGAACUGAGACACGGUCCAGACUCCUACGGGAGGCAGCAGUAGGGAAUCUUCGGCAAUGGGCGAAAGCCUGACGGAGCAACGCCGCGUGAGUGGUGAAGGUCUUCGGAUCGUAAAACUCUGUUAGUAGGGAAGAACAAAUGUGUAAGUAACUCUGCACGUCUUGACGGUACCUAAACAGAAAGCCACGGCUAACUACGUG
rnacentral:rRNA from 1 species